ensembl:lncRNA
CUUUUUGGUCCAGAAGCACUGCAGUGAAUGGAAGGGCCUCUCACAGUCAAACUCCAUGGCGCCAAAAUUAAAACCAGCGUUAAGGAUGAAACCGGCAAUAAGGAAAGCAUCACCAGAUUUCUUUACAUUACUUAUUGCAGGACGGAAUUAUUUGAGCAGUAAUGCUUCCAGGACCUUUUGAUUCACCGGACAGAGACCAAUCCAAAACGCAUAAUGCCAGGGAAAAUAUAGAGUUAUACUCUGAAGGAUUUGGAAAAGACUAUUUAGCAAUCACAGCAGCACUUUGGCACUUGUGCGAGAGCGUUGCACGCCUGUGCGAGCACAACCUCGCGUCUCUUCCGUUGGACUUGACUUUGUCUGUAUUUGCAUCCAGCUGUCUUCCUGCACGAUAACCAGAACACCGGAAAUUUGCUGAGGAUGACACACACAAUCAAUGAGGAGAUUUUAGUCAUUGCAUCAAAUUAGCAAAUUCUCAAUCCUGACUAAGAUACAGCUAGAAAACGAGCUGCCAGCAACACCCUCUGAAGCAGAUGGUUCCCACCACUUGGAAUGCUCCUUUCUGUGCACUUCAGCAGCUCCUGAAAUAACAGAGUGCUGCAGAACGGAGAAGGAAGAUGACUGGAAAAAUGGAGGCACAUAGAAAUGAAAUGACUAUCUAAAGUCACACCAGUCUCCUUCUUUAACCUGGUAAAUGGUUUUUCACCCCCACUCAUUGUACUUGGCUUGCAUCAUGCCUUCUUCCUAAGAAGUCCUCUGGAAGGCCUCAGCUCCCCAGCCCCACUCUAUGAUAAGUCGCCGAUUUUCCAUCCUGCCUUUCUCGUGCUUGAUUACAUCAUCCCCUUCCAGAGAAGUGAGUCCAGUGGACCAGAUCCAGAAUUCAUCGGAAGUGACAGGCGCCUGUCAAUGCCAACGCCCGUGGUCCUGGGCAGGGAGGAGGAAAACCAGGUCAUGUCGCCUUGGCGAGGAGGUGCUCGGGAUAAGGAUAACCCAUCUGCGAACACCAUGGGUUCACCCCUUUGAGGCUGGAAGCCCUGAGGGCACAGUGGGUGCCAGCACUGACAUCACCUUUGUCAUGCACCCUUCGCCCAUGAGGAUGCACCAGUGGUUUCAUAGGAACCCACUGCAUGCCCUGCUUUUCCCUGGGUGUUCCAAUACCCACUGCUAUAGCCUGGCAACGUUUGCAGCCAGCAACCCAUUUUUCCAACACACAGCUCUUGCUGCCUCUGAACUUAGCCCUGCAAAAAUAAAAAGUGGGUUUGGCAAUCUCUGAAUUAGACCUGGAUGCAUAAACAGAGGUAAUCCCUUUGUUCUCACUGACAACAGCUUAAGAAAUCCUCACGCAGAGCUCCACAGUGACACAAAACUUAUUUGCUACCACCGCUGAGGUUUAGAAGCAGAAUCCAUUUCAGGUGGACAUAAAAAUCCAGCCCAAUAUUUACUUGCCACUGGAUACAAACGUUUCCCAGUGAAGUCUGCACUAGUGUCAGAGAGGUGGAUAAAUCCUUCAACUUUGUUAAAUGUGGAAUAAAGGAGAGAAUAACUUGAAUUAAAUUCCUGUGCCCACUUGAAAUGAUGUCUGGCUGUGCCUCUGUACCUGUGCCUGAUUUUUGCAUGAAAAUAUUCUCUUUGUCCCUAUCUGGUGUUCUUCUUCAAAAAGGAAUUGAGUUAAAAAAGAAGGCAAUAAUGUAAGAUUUUUAAGCAAACAGUUCAAUAUUUCCUUUAAAAUGUUCUCUGUAUUCAAGAGCACUUUGAUUUCUAUCUUUUUUUUUUUCCUCCAGGCUUUGAAACUGUACCUCUUUUAAAAAAAGACCAUCCCUGAUUUUAGUCUUUUGUUCCUUUAUGAGCUUUGUCCCCGACUUUUAAAUGUGGAGAGAGUUGAGAG